rnacentral:misc_RNA from 1 species
AGGGGCUUACCCUGACUCGUCCACCGUGGACUUGGAUGGGAUCGCCCUUCUCGGUACCUUGGUGCCUAGGUGCGCCGCGAGCUGCGCACGCUGGGGCGCGCAACUCCUGCGUCAUACCGCGGGCUCGCAUUUUGGACUUUGACACCGCCUUCUGCGAUCGCGGCAACUGCGACAUGAUGUGCUCCACAGACGCUUCUCUCAGGGGAUGAGGUGCAGACGCGCGCGCCACCGCGCUUGUUGGGAGCAUCGAGGCGCCAGCGUCGCAUCCCCUUCCACCACUUGUCAAGCACCCGCAGGUUUAUAAAACAAGUGGCGCUUCCAUAGCAACACAGGGCCUCCGCUCUCCCCCGGUACGCGCACGCUGAAGGGAAGUGUAAGAACGAUCGUAGGAGGAGCGACGCUAGCUUAGAGGGCUCAUGCGCGCCUCUCUCUGUCGGGGCGUGGCGAGGGCGCCGUGUCGGCGAUGAACCAGUGAGGGCCCUGCAACGAAAUAGGAAUGCGACAUCGUGGUCCACCGAAGAAGCGUGCGCUAGCACCGCGAGUGAUGCUCCCGGCGUGAAACUGCCCCCCCCCUCCCUCCCCCAACAG